AUUACUUUGGCAGAGUGAGUGUGAUGAAUUUAGAAUUCAUGAACGUAAGGUUUUUACAAGUAAUA
rnacentral:tRNA from 1 species